rnacentral:lncRNA from 1 species
AUUUGUGGGAGCACUUUUGAUAGUAUGUUGUGAAUCUUUUCAUCUGAGUCAGUCCUCUGCCUUUUGCCUUAAAGUGCAUUGGAUACUUUCACUUUUUCUUCUCUUGUCACCCUCAGCUGCACAAAAUCGAGUUAAUCAUCUCCCUCACUUUAUUGCACACUAUAGUCACCGAUCGGGGGCCAGCCCCAUGGUGGGGUGGUUAAGUUCCAGCACUCCGCUGCCGCAGCCCAGGGUUUCACCAGUUCGGAUCCUGGGCGUGGACAUGGUACCGCUCCUCAGGCCACGUUGAGGAGGCAUCCCACAUGCCACAACUGGAAGGACCUGCAACUAAGAUAUACAACUAUGUACUGGGGGGAUUUGGGGGAGAUAAAGCAGAAAAAAAAAAAAAGAUUGGCAACAGUUGGUAGCUCAGAU